UGCUGGAGGUAUCAGAAGUGCGAAUGCUGACAUAAGUAACGAUAAAGCGGGUGAAAAGCCCGCUCGCCGGAAGACCAAGGGUUCCUGUUCAACGUUAAUCGGAGCAGGGUGAGUCGGCCCCUAAGGCGAGGCCGAAAGGCGUAGUCGAUGGGAAACAGGUUAAUAUUCCUGUACUCGGUGUUACUGCGAAGGGGGGACGGAGAAGGCUAUAUCAGCCGGGCGACGGUUGUCCC
rnacentral:rRNA from 1 species